CACUGUUGCAGGAUGGCCCAGGAUUUAGAGCACUUGCUGCUCUUGCAGAUUAUAGUAAGAAAUUACCAGUACGGAGUCAGGUAGAAAUAUAAGGGUAUUUAAUAGGGAAAAGCCUUACUUACAGAGCGAACCAGCCAGCCGGUGGUAGUCUGUACAGCAAGAAGCAAAGAGAAACCGAAACUGAAAACGCAGUCCCCCUACUCACUCUGACCAUGCCCUCACAAGCCCUCAGGUACUCUUGUAGCCAGCCCCUAAGAAGGCGUGGCUACAGCUUCCCCUACAAUUCCCCUUUUAGUCUAAAAGAGGAUUAAAACUUAACAGUAUAAAGGUAAAAUAUAAGAAGAUAACUAUCUAUUUUAACUAAACCCUAAAGUCAUAAACAAUAGGAAGCUAUUCCUAACUAGGUAUAUACACUAUCCUAAGUGACAACAAUGGGGAAAGGGGGCGUAGCAUUUUCCAAGUUACUUCCUGCUGAAAUGGGACGAUGAUAGUCAUGUGGGGUCCUGUAGAAAGAAAAUGUUAGUAUCCAGUCCAUGUUAGAUGGGAUUCACUUGAUUGAAGAUCUCGCUUGAAAUCCUCAACUUGAUUGAAGUCAGUACCCAAACCUCUGGCCGGAGUGUCAGCUGAAAUGGAGCAAGUUGGAUCCAGUGCAGUCGAGGAGGUGUGGCCCAUUUUCUUUCUAGGGUGUCCAGGGAUUGCUGUCAGGCAGGUCUUCAUUGGCUGUGUGGGACUCAAACAUGAACAGUUAGUAGAGAAAUGUUUGCUUGUGUAUGUACACAUGCUAGGGAAUGCAACCAUGAGAGCAUAACAAUUAUGAAAGGGUGUACACCUUGAGAGAAAGAUCCAAGAAAAGACAAAGACAGUCCCCAAAUUCUUCUUUUAUUCUGUAUUACAUCAAUUGGCUUCUUGAUACAAUACAGAAACACUAAAGCUUAGUUAAAUAAUGUGCUUGGAUUUUAGAGGAGGAAAGCCAAAUCCACCUCUAAGUCCAGCAUUGGUUUAAUUGAAUAGGGACUAGGAAAUAAAGUGGCUACAGCUUCCCCUACAGCAGAUGGCACAGAUGUGGUUCUGAGCACCCCGGAAUGGAUCACAACCACCCAUAACUCCAGCUCCAGGGCAUCCAACACCCUCUCCCAGCCUUCAUGUGGGCACCGAAUGUGCACACGUUGUAUAAAUAUGCAUGCAAGCACACAUAAUGUUUUUUAAAUUUAAAAGGAACCUGAGCUUCCUAGAUACAAUAAGCACCCUAAGCAAAAAUCACAUGCUUUGCAUGUAUAAUGUUCUGGGUUACUAACUCCAUGGUUACAGAAGCCAUUCCAGAGAGCUGGAGAGCAUGACCUGGAAACACAGGUGACACACAGUAAUGCACACUUGAGUAAAUAACCAUAGAGGUGACACUCGUGAACAGGCCUGUGGACUGUGACACGCGUGUACAGGCCAAUGUGGGCUGUGAUGCAUGUUCAAAGUAAGGAAAAGUGGGGAGAUUGCUGAGAAUGGGGUCUUCAGAACGGGAUUUUUACAUUGACCCACCACACACAUACACACACACACACAUACACACACACGCACACAUAUUCACACACACAUACAUACACACACACACACACACAUACACACACACACACACACACACACACACGCACAUACACAUACACACACACACACAUACACACACACAUACAUACACACACAUACACACACAUACACACACAUAUAUACACACAUACACACACAUACACACACAUACACAUACACACACAUACACACACACAUACACACACACAUACACACACAUAUAUACACACAUACACACACACAUACACACACACAUACACACACAUACACACACACAUAUACACACACACACAUACACACACACAUACACACACAUAUAUACACACAUACACACACAUACACACACAUAUACACACACACACACAUACACACACACAUAUAUACACACAUACACACACAUAUACACACACACACACAUACACACACACAUACACACACACACACAUACACACACACAUACACACACAUAUAUACACACAUACACACACACAUACACACACAUACACACACACACAUACACACACACACACAUACACACACACACAUACACACACACACACACAUACACACACAUACACACACACACAUACACACACACACACACACACACACACACACACACACACACACACAUUCCGAGAGAGAGUCGGAGGGCAGAGCAGAGAGACUGGCAGACUGAGUUGAGCAGCCGGGUGUGCUGCGUGCAAAACUCCUCAUGUAACUGAUGAAGAGGACACAGGACAGAAAGGACAGCUGGGCAGAGCAACCCAUGCUCAUCUGCAGCAGGCACUGAGGUGGAAAAAUAUUAAACCCUGGCUGUUGUCCAGUUUGGCCAGGACCCCAGAUGGGUCAUCUUCCAUGCUUGCUACUUCCUGUUCCUUUGAUAGGUGGUGUCAAAGCUCUCCUUUCUUUACAAAGAGAGGGCGAAAGUAGGUGGGUUCCUUCAAGUGUGAGAACCAGACACAAGAAUAACCUUAUUGCUUCUAAAGAAGACAUUUUCAGCAUAGGAAAGAGGGAGGGGGCUGGGAGGAAGCUGUGCAUUAGGUUUGAUAGCUUGUUACAAUUAUUCAGAAAAAAAAAAUAAACGAGAGGGGGCAGGGGAGGGAGAAAAGAAAGGAAGGAGAGAAAGAAAGACAAAAUUUUUCUCUUCAAUUUAUGUAUGAUAUUACCUGAGGACACACACACAUACAUACGUGUAUGUAUGUGUGUGUGUAUGUGUGUAUGUGUGCACAUAUAGGAUAUAUGUAAUGCGUGUGUAUGUAAUGUGUAUUAUCCAAAGAGAUGCAAGUAUGUUUUCAUGCAGUAGAUAACAUUAAAGCAGAUACAGAAACAUGUUAUUACUUUAUGAGCCUGCAGGAAGAGUACAUAUGAGUACAUCUUUAAGAAGCUUUAAAAUUUUGGGUCAAGAACAUCAUCAUGAAAAGCAAUGGCACAAUCUGCACUUCUAAGAUUCUAUCAUUGUCUAUCACUUCCUUUCCCUACUACAGUUCAUAGGAGUUCCGGCUGGAAGGACAGACCCCUUCUCCACGGCUACCUUGCAUUUGUGGUUCAGCUGAAGCUUCAGAGGCAGUCCAGUGCUCUAGGUGUCACGGCUCUGAGCUGCUGCUCCAAAGCAGGGUUUUGAGCGUCAUUCUGAAGAGCUUCCCGUGCACUGAACUUUCAGAAAUGAGCUACACAAGAGGCAGAAGUUUG
ensembl:lncRNA